UACAGAGGCCUCGAGCGUUAGGCGGAAUCACUGGGCUUAAAGCGUGUGUAGGCGGACUUCUAAGUACCUUGUGAAAUCCCACGGCUUACCCGUGGAACUGCUUGGUAUACUGCGGGUCUUGAGCCACCUAGGGGCAAGUGGAACAAACGGUGGAGCGGUGAAAUGCGUAGAUAUCGUUUGGAACGCCAAUGGUGAAAACAACUUGCUGGGGGUGUGCUGACGCUGAGACACGAAAGCCAGGGGAGCAAACGGG
rnacentral:rRNA from 1 species